GACGGACCGUGCAAACGUUAUUCGGAAUCACUGGGCAUAAAGGGCGCGUAGGCGGCUCCAAAAGUCAGGGGUGAAAUCCGGCAGCUCAACUGUCGCAGUGCCUUUGAUACUGUGGAGCUAGAGGGAGGUAGGGGUCUGUGGAACUUCCGGUGGAGCGGUGAAAUGCGUUGAUAUCGGAAGGAACGCCGGUGGCGAAAGCGACGGACUGGAUCUCUUCUGACGCUGAGGCGCGAAAGCCAGGGGAGCAAACGGG
rnacentral:rRNA from 1 species